UACGUAGGGGGCUAGCGUUAUCCGGAAUUACUGGGCGUAAAGGGUGCGUAGGUGGUUUCUUAAGUCAGAGGUGAAAGGCUACGGCUCAACCGUAGUAAGCCUUUGAAACUGAGAAACUUGAGUGCAGGAGAGGAGAGUAGAAUUCCUAGUGUAGCGGUGAAAUGCGUAGAUAUUAGGAGGAAUACCAGUUGCGAAGGCGGCUCUCUGGACUGUAACUGACACUGAGGCACGAAAGCGUGGGGAGCAAACAGG
rnacentral:rRNA from 4 species